rnacentral:lncRNA from 1 species
GAACUAUGACAUAAAAAUGAUUAUACCUGUAACACGAUGUAUUUGAAGGUAUCUUGGGAAUCUACUCAGGCAGAAUACUUUAUACAGGGUAUGUUUCUAUAAUAGUUUGUCUGCAUUUUGGGCCCGAAGAUUUCCCGUCAUCUUUCUCCAACUUUUAUUAACACUUGUUUUAUUUAAAAUAUGUAUGCAAAAGGGCAAUAAUGUCUUCUGAAAAUGAAAAACCUCCUAUACCUUCAGUUAUCUAUGUAUCAGAAUGGAUAAUUCUGUCAAUUUUUCUUUAUAGUGCAUUUUCCAUUAUACCUGCUACAUUGCUCAUUACAUGAAUUCUAGCUCCAUGAGGAAUUUAAAAGACUUCUAAUUUAAGAAUGUGGAAUACGGAGUUUAAUGCUGAAUGUAAACUGAAGGAUAUCCUGGUACUUCUUCAUAAUGCAUACACUAAAAGCAACCACUUAUAUACAUCGAAACAAAGUUUAUUUCAACUAAUCUGAAGCAACUGCAGCUGGUAUGUUGUUGGAAAGAAGAUAUCAGGGAACAGUCCAGCAAGAUUGUGGUAGACUGCAUAAUAUCAACCAAGGCUAAAGCCAUCAAGGUAACACUUUGUGGAGCUCCUGGCUCAUUGAGUAAGUCUGUGAUGAAGUCCAAACUUUGGAUACUGGAUGUUGCACAAACACUCAUGGACAUAUUAUGUUAAAUAUACAUGUUUUGUAAAUGUGUAAAUACAUAUCUAUUUGGAUCUUUGCACAGAGUAAUGCAUAUCUUCUGAAGCAAAUAUGUUGGCUAGGAUGGUUGGUAACUGGU